AUUGAACGCUGGCGGCAGGCCUAACACAUGCAAGUCGAGCGGAUGAAGGGAGCUUGCUCCUGGAUUCAGCGGCGGACGGGUGAGUAAUGCCUAGGAAUCUGCCUGGUAGUGGGGGAUAACGUCCGGAAACGGGCGCUAAUACCGCAUACGUCCUGAGGGAGAAAGUGGGGGAUCUUCGGACCUCACGCUAUCAGAUGAGCCUAGGUCGGAUUAGCUAGUUGGUGGGGUAAAGGCCUACCAAGGCGACGAUCCGUAACUGGUCUGAGAGGAUGAUCAGUCACACUGGAACUGAGACACGGUCCAGACUCCUACGGGAGGCAGCAGUGGGGAAUAUUGGACAAUGGGCGAAAGCCUGAUCCAGCCAUGCCGCGUGUGUGAAGAAGGUCUUCGGAUUGUAAAGCACUUUUAGUUGGGAGGAGGGGCAGUAAGUUAAUACCUUGCUGUUUUGACGUUACCAACAGAAUAAGCACCGGCUAACUUCGUG
rnacentral:rRNA from 1 species